rnacentral:rRNA from 1 species
UGUAGUCAUAUGCUUGUCUCAAAGAUUAAGCCAUGCAUGUCUAAGUAUAAGCAAUUAUACCGCGAAACUGCGAAUGGCUCAUUAUAUAAGUUAUCGUUUAUUUGAUAGCACAUUACUACUUGGAUAACCGUGGUAAUUCUAGAGCUAAUACAUGCUAAAAAUCCCGACUUCGGAAGGGAUGUAUUUAUUAGAUUAAAAGCCAACGCCCUUCGGGGCUCUGUGGUGAUUCAUAAUAACUGGUCGAAUCGCAUGGCCUUGCGCCGGCGAUGGUUCAUUCAAAUUUCUUCCCUAUCAACUUUCGAUGCGAGGGUCUUGUCCUCGCAUGGUUGCAACGGGUAACGGGGAAUGGGGCGGGGGCGGCGGGCCGGGCGCGGGGCGCGGCGGGCGGCA